rnacentral:rRNA from 1 species
GCUUGGGAAUAUGCCUUGAGGUGGGGACGAACAGUUGGAAACGACUGCUAAUACCGCAUACGUCCUAUGGGAGAAAGUAGGGGGAGUCUUCGGACCUCACGCUAUUAGAUGAGCCCGCGUAAGAUUAGCUAGUUGGUGGGGUAAAGGCCUACCAAGGCGACGAUCUUUAGCUGGUCUGAGAGGAUGAUCAGCCACACUGGAACUGAGACACGGUCCAGACUCCUACGGGAGGCAGCAGUGGGGAAUAUUGCACAAUGGGGGAAACCCUGAUGCAGCCAUGCCGCGUGUGUGAAGAAGGCU